rnacentral:misc_RNA from 1 species
GAAUAACACAAGGUUGAGAAUCUUCGUGCAAGUAUGCAAGUCCUCUCGCUGCAUCAAGCGCAAUUUUCAUUCUUGUGUCCCAAUCCAGAGGGCAAUUUAAUCCUAAGUGGCCAUGAAGCCAAGCCUCUAAACUUCCAUUUGAAACAAGCUCAUAACAUAGUAGGUUCUGUGAGGACUCCCGACUGCUAUAGUAACCAACAAGCUUCACAAGAUUACGGUGAUGCAGCCUACUAAGCAUCUCAACCUCAACUAGGAACUCUUUACCUCCUUGUUGGCCUCCACUAGUAAGUCUUUUUAUUGCAACAGCAGUACCAUCACUAAGCACGCCCUUGUAAACUCUGCCAAAGCCGCCCUCUCCAAGUAUACUAGCUGGUGCAAAGUUAUUUGUAGCUUCUUUCAGUUCUUCAUAUGGAAGAAACCGUGUACUAGUUGGAUGGGGAAAUGAUCCCUGAGCAGGAACAGUCUCUACACGCAUUGGUUUUUCAGCUUCUUUGUGGGAGCCUUUCUUCUGUCCAUGAUUAGAUCCACAGAAACAAAUAAAGAGUGUUGAUAUGAUAGUGAUGAUUAAGAUGCCAGCAACAAUCCCAACAAUAAGAAUUAAACUCGGAUGUCUCCCUUUGUGUGAAGAUACUGUUACUGCAGGAGCUGAAGGAAGAUGCGGAGCUGCUAAAACUGGUGACAUAGCAGAACGAGGAGCUUGUGAUGAAACUGGUGGCUUAAACAAGGUAAUGUUGAGCAAUUGGUAUCCACCCACUAGUGUUGGGUCUAGUUGGAUCUUAUGCAUUGAUAAUGAAGCGUUUACAGCUGAAGCUUCAUCAGAUGAUAAGCUAACUCCCUUGUAUGGUGUGAUAUCCAUGGAUAUAUUUAGCUUUGAAAGAUCCACCAUAUAAAAGUUAAUCAGCUCAAUUUGAGACACCUUUAAACCUAGCUGUGAAGCAAAUUCAUUUAGAAAAAGUUUCCAAUUAGGAUUUGAUGAGACAUUCAAGAGAAGAAGGUCAAUCUUUAACGGGUAAACACACUCGCAGUCCAGGCUUCCUCGUUUGAGCACCAUAUCUUGUCCACAACAGUCUGUGGAAGUGUGAGGAGAAAGUGGUGGCUGAACCAAACCAGUGGGUAGAGUACUAGGACUGGAUUGAGGGGGUGCAAGGCCAGCACUAGGAGGCACCAAUCCAUUUUUCUUCAUUGAUGGCUUCGACAAGCUGGAACUGGAAGGAGCGUGCGCAGCAGUUACUAAAGGACCGUAAUCAGGAGGCUGAGCUGGAGCUAGCCCAAGCCAUGGCGCACCAUGAGGAGAAUGUUUCCUAUGCUGUCUAUGAAAACCAGGUACAUUCGCUGGCAGGGGCAGAUCAGGUAGGCCAGGUGCUUCAACAGGUUUAUUGACUGGAGUAACAGGUUGUUGCUCAAAUGGCUCAUCAGGCAACUCAGCAUUAGUGAUGCACAAGAAAAAAAAUAAAAUGGUUAAAUUCUUCAGCUUCAAAGACUGGCCCCUCUUUGAUAACCUAGCACAACACGGGAAGAACAGUAGCUUUGACAAGUCCAACAUCACUUGACGCCAAUGAAAACAAACACCGUUCGGAUCUGAAGAAAUUGAACAAACUAACAGCUAGAUCGAAAAGUAGCAGUACAAACAACACUACAAGCAAAAACAACUUGCAUCAGCUAUCAAAUGAGGACCUAAA